AUAUCUCUAACAUCCCAUUUCAGACAUGGCCUUCUCAUCUGCAGUCUCCAUCUCCAUCAACACCCCUGUCCUGAUUGAGCAGCACCUCAACUGCUCCAUCUGUCUGGGCCUGUUUAAGGACCCGGUCACCACCCCCUGUGGCCACACCUUCUGCCAGACUUGCCUGGAAUGCAACCUCCACUUCAAUGACCUCAUAUGCCCCGUCUGUAAGGAGCAUCUGAGGAGGAACCCACAGGUGAAUUCAUGCUAGAUAAAGUCAAUAUAACACUUCCUGUCUCAGCCAUUUUCCCCACUAAUGAACUGUUGUUUGGGGGGGGGGGGUGUAUUGUUCUAAAAUCAAAUCAAAUGAUUUGUAGACUAACCGAGCUGUAUACUAACAGGGAAAUGCUUACUUAUGGGCCCUUCCCAACAAUGCAGAGAGAACAAAUUUUGAAAUAGUAGAACUGAUAUUACACAAGGAAUAAAAACACAAUGAGUAAUGACAACUUAGCUAUAUACACUUGGUACCAGUACCGAGUCGAUGUGCCGGGGCACGAGGUAGAUAUUUACAUAUAUCUAGGGAUAAAGUGACGAGGCAACGGGAUAGAUAAUGAACAGUAACAGCAUCAAAGCACAAUAUCACCCACAGGUGAAUAUCAUCCUCAGUACUCUCAUUCAGGAGUUGAAAAAGGCCCAGGAGAGGAAGCCAGGGGAGUAUUCUGGAGCUCCAGGUGAGGUGGCCUGUGACGUCUGCACUGAGAGGAAGCUCAAGGCCCAAAAGUCCUGUUUGGUGUGUCUGGCCUCAUAUUGCGAGACUCACCUGGGCCCCCACACUUCAGCAGGCAGGCUGAAGGGCCACAGGUUGGUGGCCCCUGUGGAUGUCCUGAAUGGCUUGGUUUACUUGGACUUUUAUUGAUUCUUGCUAACAGUUCACAAUAAAAUUGCAUAGAAAACUUCAUCAGAAAACACACACUUAGAUGGAUAAUACACUGUACUGUUUAAAAUGUAUAAACAGGCUGGUGGCCCCUGUGAAGGACCUGGAUGGGAGGGCGUGUCUGACCCACGGUCGUCCCCUGGAGCUGUAUAGCAGGGCAGAGGGGCGCUGUGUCUGUGCCCUCUGCGUGGAGGAGGGUCACGAAGUCAUCUCCGUGGAAAUGGAGUGGGACAGGAAGAAGGGUAACCUGGGGAGCACCAAGGCUGAUAUGCAGGAGAGAAUCCUGGAGAUGGAGAGAAAGGUGGAGGAGAUCAGGGUGUCUGUGGAGCAGUGCAAGGUGAGGCCUGGUUAAGUCAGUGUGAGGUAUUACCUGUUUACCUGCAAACACAG
rnacentral:lncRNA from 1 species